GGCCUAAACCAAUGGUUUCAACUGUUGGCAUGGUCUAAAGACUCAACGAAGACACUGAACCCCGCGUUCAGCAACUCUUCGUUGAGCCGUGUACCGAAAGGUAUGUGGGGUCGCAAGGCCU
rnacentral:sRNA from 1 species